rnacentral:rRNA from 1 species
GAGUUUGAUUAUGGCUCAGGAUGAACGCUGGCGGCGUGCCUAACCCAUGAAGUCGAACGAUCCCGCAAGGGAGAGUGGCGGAAGGGUGAGUAACACGUGAAAUCUACCUCGCCGGAGGGAACAACCCUUCGAAAGAGGGGCUAAUACCAAAAGGAUCCGCAAGGAUCAGAGUCCGCAAGGGCCUGGCGAGAGGAGUUGCGGCCCAUCAGCUAGUUGGUGGGGUAAUGGCCUACCAAGGCUACGACGGUAGGGGGUCUGAGAGGAUGAUCCCCCACACUGGAACUGAAACACGGUCAGACGCCUACGGGUGGCAGCAGGGAGGAAUAUUGGACAAUGGGGGAAACCCGAUCCAGCAACGCCGCGUGAGGGAUGAAGGCCUUCGGGUUGUAAACUCUUUUCAGGGAGACGAGCAAGGACGGUAUCCCUGGAAUAAGCCACGGCAACUACGUGCCAGCAGCCGCGGUAAUACGUAGGUGGCGAGCGUUAUCCGAUUUACUGGGCGUAAAGCGCUUGUAGGCGGCCUUGUAAGUUGGGCGUGAAGCUCCGGGCUUAACCCGGAGAGGCCGUCCAAUACUGCAGGGCUAGAGGUGUCAGAGGAAGGUGGAAUUCCUGGUGUAGUGGUGAAAUGCGUAGAUAUGGGAGGAACACCAGUGGCGAAGGCGGCCUCCUGG